UACGGGGGGAGCAAGCGUUGUUCGGAUUUACUGGGCGUAAAGGGCGCGUAGGCGGCCAGCGCAAGUCAGUUGUGAAAUCUCCGGGCUUAACUCGGAAAGGUCAACUGAUACUGCGCGGCUAGAGUGCAGAAGGGGCAACUGGAAUUCUCGGUGUAGCGGUGAAAUGCGUAGAUAUCGAGAGGAACACCUGCGGCGAAGGCGGGUGCUGGGCUGACACUGACGCUGAGGCGCGAAAGCCAGGGGAGCGAACGGG
rnacentral:rRNA from 1 species